AUGUUUCUCUUCACCUGCAUUAUAAUACAGCUCAUCAUGGGAACUACAAUUGCAGAUGAAAUACAUCCCCUGUCUUCAGACAAACAUGUAGCUGAAGGUCAAAAUGUGACUCUGUCUUGUAAUUACAGCACCACUGGCACUGUUGACUCUCUCCAGUGGUAUCGUCAGUAUCCCAGAGCAAAACCAGAGUUUUUACUUUCUCUUAACGAAUUUUUAAACACAUCUGAACCUGAUCUUCGUCUGUUUUCAAACGCUGUAAAAGCACUGAAGCGUGUGGAUCUGCUGCUCUCCUCUGCUGCAGUAUCAGACUCUGCUGUGUAUUACUGUGCUCUGAGGCCCACAGUCACAGGAAACACACAGACACUGAGCAAAAACCUAAAGCACAGUAUUGAGUCUGUAAUAAACAAAUGUGAACACAUACUGAACUGCUCUCAACAAAUGUUCAGGAGGACAGUGUUCACCAGCCAGUAUUAUAAAGUGACGAUGUAA